GUCACUUCACAGAGAUAGGGGGUCCACUUCGGUGGCGCAGAGACAGGUGCUCAUGGCUGUCGUCAGCUCGUGUCGUGAGAUGUGGGUUAAGUCCCGCAAGAGCGCAACCCUCGCCCUUAGUUGCCAGCAUUCAGUUGGGCACUCUAAGGGACUGCCGGUGAUAAGCCGAGAGGAAGGUGGGAUGACGUCAAGUCCUCAUGGCCCUUACGGGCUGGGCUACACACGUGCUCAAUGGUGGUGACAGUGGGCAGCGAGCACGCGAGUGGAGCUAAUCUCCAAAAGCCAUCUCAGUUCGGAUUGCACUCUGCAACUCGAGUGCAUGAAGUGGAAUCGCUAGUAAUCGCGGAUCAGCAUGC
rnacentral:rRNA from 1 species